GUCGAGCGGAACGAUACGCAAGGCUUGCUGCGCUAGGCGUCGAGCGGCGGACGGGUGAGUAACACUUAGGAAUCUACCUAGUAGUGGGGGAUAGCUCGGGGAAACUCGAAUUAAUACCGCAUACGACCUACGGGAGAAAGGGGGCAACUUGUUGCUCUCGCUAUUAGAUGAGCCUAAGUCGGAUUAGCUAGUUGGUGGGGUAAAGGCCUACCAAGGCGACGAUCUGUAGCUGGUCUGAGAGGAUGAUCAGCCACACCGGGACUGAGACACGGCCCGGACUCCUACGGGAGGCAGCAGUGGGGAAUAUUGGACAAUGGGGGCAACCCUGAUCCAGCCAUGCCGCGUGUGUGAAGAAGGCCUUUUGGUUGUAAAGCACUUUAAGCAGUGAAGAAGACCUAACGGUUAAUACCCGUUAGCGAUGACAUUAGCUGCAGAAUAAGCACCGGCUAACUCUGUGCCAGCAGCCGCGGUAAUACAGAGGGUGCAAGCGUUAAUCGGAAUUACUGGGCGUAAAGCGAGCGUAGGUGGCUUGAUAAGUCAGAUGUGAAAUCCCCGGGCUUAACCUGGGAACUGCAUCUGAUACUGUUAGGCUAGAAUAGGUGAGAGGAA
rnacentral:rRNA from 1 species